rnacentral:tRNA from 1 species
GCGAGUGUAGCUCAGCAGGUAGAGCGCCCGACUGUGACUCGGGAGGUCGUCGGUUCGAGCCCGAUCACUCGCC